rnacentral:rRNA from 2 species
ACGGGAGGCAGCAGUAGGGAAUCUUCCACAAUGGACGAAAGUCUGAUGGAGCAACGCCGCGUGAGUGAAGAAGGGUUUCGGCUCGUAAAACUCUGUUGUUAAAGAAGAACAUAUCUGAGAGUAACUGUUCAGGUAUUGACGGUAUUUAACCAGAAAGCCACGGCUAACUACGUGCCAGCAGCCGCGGUAAUACGUAGGUGGCAAGCGUUGUCCGGAUUUAUUGGGCGUAAAGCGAGCGCAGGCGGUUUUUUAAGUCUGAUGUGAAAGCCUUCGGCUCAACCGAAGAAGUGCAUCGGAAACUGGGAAACUUGAGUGCAGAAGAGGACAGUGGAACUCCAUGUGUAGCGGUGAAAUGCGUAGAUAUAUGGAAGAACACCAGUGGCGAAGGCGGCUGUCUGGUCUGUAACUGACGCUGAGGCUCGAAAGUAUGGGUAGCAAACAGGAUUAGAUACCCUGGUAGUCCAUACCGUAAACGAUGAAUGCUAAGUGUUGGAGGGUUUCCGCCCUUCAGUGCUGCAGCUAACGCAUUAAGCAUUCCGCCUGGGGAGUACGGNCGCAAGGCUGAAACUCAAAGGAAUUGACGGGGGCCCCGCACAAGCGGUGGANCAUGUGGNUUAAUUCGAAGCUACGCGAAGAANCUUACCNGGUCNUGACAUACUAUGCAAAUCU